rnacentral:rRNA from 1 species
AUACGAAGGGGGCUAGCGUUUUUCGGAAUCACUGGGCGUAAAGCGCGCGUAGGUGGAUCAAUUAGUUGAGGGUGAAAUCCCGGGGCUCAACCUCGGAACUGCCUUCAAUACUGUUGAUCUUGAGACCGAGAGAUGUGAGUGGAAUUCCUAGUGUAGAGGUGAAAUUCGUAGAUAUUAGGAAGAACACCAGUGGCGAAGACGGCUCACUGGCUCGGUACUGACGCUGAGGUGCGAAAGCGUGGGGAGCAAACAGGAUUAGAAACCCUAGUAGUCC